AAAGUUUUAAGUUAAAUAAACUAUUAACCUUCAAAGUUAAAAAUAUGAAUAAAUCAUAAGCUUUA
rnacentral:tRNA from 1 species